GAUGAACGCUGGCGGCGUGCCUAAUACAUGCAAGUCGAGCGAACGGACGAGAAGCUUGCUUCUCUGAUGUUAGCGGCGGACGGGUGAGUAACACGUGGAUAACCUACCUAUAAGACUGGGAUAACUUCGGGAAACCGGAGCUAAUACCGGAUGAUAUAUUGAACCUCAUGGUUCAAAAGUGAAAGACGGUCUUGCUGUCACUUAUAGAUGGAUCCGCGCUGCAUUAGUUAGUGGGUAAGGUAACGGCUUACCAAGGCAACGAUGGAUAGCCGACCCGAGAGGGUGAUCCGACACACUGGAACUGAGACACGGUCCAGACUCCUGCGGGAGGCCGCAGUAGGGACUCUUACGCAAGGGGCGAGAGCCUGACGGAGCAACGCCGCGUGAGUGAUGAAGGUCUUCGGAUCGUAAAGCUCUGUUAUUAGGGGAGAACAAAUGUGUAAGUAACCGUGCACAUAUUGACGGUACCUAAUCAAAAAGCCCCGGCUAACUCCGUG
rnacentral:rRNA from 1 species